CUUAUUGUCAUUUAAGGUUACUCAAGGUCAUGCAAUGCUAGCAACUUACAAGUAUGAUAAAGACAAGAUAAGAGAGAUUCUUGCAAAGAUGUUUAUAGUGCAUGAGUAUUCUUUUAGGAUGGUGGAACAUCAGUUCUUUGUUUUAUUCUGUAAAGCUCUUAACCCAAAAUUUGAGCUAAUAAAGCGGGUUACUUUGAGGAAUGACUGUUUGAAAAUGUUUGCAAUUGAGAAGCAAAAGUUGAGGUCAAUGUUAAGAAAUGUUGAUAGAAUUAGCUUAACGACUGAUCUAUGGACCUCAAAUCAAAUAAUAGGGUACAUUUGCCUUACUGGACAUUUCUUAGAUUCUGAAUGGAAGUUGCAAAAGAGAAUUUUAAAUUUUUGUAGCUUGGCACCUCCCCACACGGGAAUUACUAUUGCUGAUUGUAUUCUUAAGUAUCUAACUGAAUAGGGGAUUGAAGAUAAGGUUUCCACUAUUACGUUAGACAAUGCAUCUUCGAAUGACACAGCAGUCAAGGUCUUGAGGAAUAAUUUUGCAAUCAAAGGAAAGCUUUACUUCAAUGAAAAAAAUAUUUCAUGUUCGUUGUUGUGCACAUGUUUUGAACCUAAUGGUAUAAGAUGGUUUAGCAGAAAUACGGGAUGUAAUUGAGAAUAUCCGUGAAAGCAUGAAAUAUCUGGAGAUGUCUCCUUCACGACUUCAUAAGUUUAAUGAAAUUGUUGAUAGUUGAAGUUGUCAACCUCUAAAAUUCUUCAACCUGAUGUGGAGUUCAGACCGGUAUUUCCAAUGUACAAGGAAAGAGACUCCGACUAUAAAUGGUUACCAUUCGAGGAAGACUGGAUACGAGCUAUAGAGGUUUCAAAAUUUUUGGAAGUUUUUAAUGAAGCCACAGAAGUAUUCUCAGGACAUCAAUAUCCAACUUCAAAUUUGUUCCUUAAAGAAAUUUGGAGAGUGAAGAAGAAAUUAAAUGAUAUGUCCUUCGAUUCUAGAGACUUUGUGAUGCACAUGACUCGAAGAAUGAAUGAAAAAUUUGAGAAGUAUUGGGGAGAUUGUAACUUACUAAUGGCAAUUGGAGCAGUUUUGGACCCUCGCUAUAAAAUGCGACUCAUUAUAUUUUGUUUUCCAAGAAUUUAUGGUGUAAAUGUUUUUCAAUGCCAUAUUGAUGAUGUUCGUGAAGCUUUAUAUAUGCUCUAUAAGGAAUAUGUAUAUUCAGAGGGACAAAUAAAUGUAAGCGCUGGCAAUAUCACUAGUACCUAAAUGUAAGCGCUAGCAAUAUCACUAGUACCUUCUCCAAACUGAAAAGAAAAAGAAGGGAUGAUGAUGACUUUGAUAUGUGGGCUAAACAACAUGGGGAUGUUGUUCCUUCCAACAAAACUGAGUUGGACAUAUAUCUAGAAGAAGGUAUUUACAAGCCUAGUGAUGAAGACUAUGACAAGUUUGAUGCUUUGAACUGGUGGAAAGCUAGCACCCUAAAAUUUCGCUAUCUAUCAAACAUGGCUCGGGACAUACUAUCCAUUCCUAUUACUACUGUUGCUUUAAAGGCUACAUUUAGUACUGGAGGUAAAGUGCUUAAUCAAUAUCGUAGCUCUUUAAAGCCUGAGACUGAACAAGCUUUGAUUUGUAUUGGAGAUUGGUUGCAUCAUGAGCUUGGAUUGGAGCAAUCAUCAAAUGUUGAUGAAGAGUUUAUGCAAUGGAACACAGAGAGUGGUCUAAACUAGACUAAUUUAUUAUGUUUAUUGUGUUUCUUGAACUCUUUUGUAGAACUUGAUUUGUAUAGGAUGUUUUUUAGUUUGUUGGGGUUUCACUUAGACCAUUUAAAUUUUUUUUGAUUGUUGUUGCCUUUGUGCUUGCCUUUGUGUAGACAACUUGGAUUUGAGUCCCAGCAUCUAAUGGUGAGCAAUUAGAGAUUUUGUUUAUUACUUUGGUAAAUGUGGUCUAUACAUGCAUUUGUAUAUUUGCGAGUUUAUCUAUGACCAUGACCAUGAGUUUAUCUAUGACCAUGACCAUGAAGCUUUGUCCCAAUUAUUUUCUUCUUCUCAUACCUCAGAUAUAAGGUGAACUGCUUUCUACUAUAUUUGUGGAAUUCCUCUUAUUUUUGUGGGUAUGUUGUUGAUGCAGCAGAUCGCGAUAACUUGCCAAUCUCAAAGAGUGAACUUCAUGACCUUCUAAGCAAGCCAUCACUGAGCAGGAUUCCAUUGCUGGUCCUUUGAAACAAAAUUGAUAAGCCUGAAGCUCUGUCUAAGCAAAGUUUGACUGAGGAGAUGGGCCUAAAGUCUAUCACUGAUAAAGAAGUUUGCUGUUUCAUGAUCUCAUGCAAGAACUCAACCAACAUUGACUCUGUAAUAGAUUGGCUUGUGAAGCACUCGAAGUCCAAAAACUGAGGAUAUAGCCUUGUGGUGCUUAGAUUUUCCCUGUUUUCUCCCGGUAUUGAGGUGUUGUGAGUUCUGCACUUGGCUAACUGGGGUUCUGAUCUUGUAAUUGCUGCCAACUUCUUAUGUGCUGAAUAGUUACCUGGGGAGUGGGAUGGGGUUUGUGCCAAACACUUCAUUAUAUUGAAACUUGGUGACUUGUGCUUUAUGCCCUUA